UGGGUGGGGUGAGGAAUAAGAAUUCCUCGCCCAGGGUGACGAAUAGCGCGAAACUCUAUUAGUAAGCCAGGGUGAAGAAUAAGUAAUUCUUCACCCCCGUCGAUCGAGUCAAGUGAUGGUCACCUAAAAUCACAUUCCACCGAUGUAAUUUUACGUGAUGGAAACUGUUGGAUGGUCCUAUGAGCUAGCCCACUCCAUCAUACUAAAAAACAUGCGAGCAGUUUUCUUAUCACUCAUCGGCGUUCCUCUCUCCAUCGGACCCUUCCUAUCUCGCCAUUGCGGAGGCGGCAGCAGCGACGACGCCGGAGGGACGACCAAGAGGCGAUGGCUACCUCUCUCGUGUGUGGAGUAUUUCCCUUUCCCUCUCUCACGCGGCAGCGCAAGCUCGGCUGCGACAACGGACUUCUCCGACGCCCCUCUCCACAAUUGGCGGUCCUCCCGCCGGCAAAUGAGGAUUGAAAUUCUGCCAAGAAAUCUUAGAGCAGAAGAUGUUUGCAAGGGACUUGGAAGACGAGGGAAUGCUGCGCAGGCGAGAAAAUGGCAAUUUGGAGAAAUUCGUGGUUACCAGCAGUCUCGAGUUAGAUUUAUUUCAAUUGCAACCAGGCAGAGUGUUGUGAAUUUGAAUUUGGGUGUGCAUGAUCUUACUAGCUUCUAAUUCUACUGAGCCAUACGGAUGAUGGUGUGUUUGCUCUCACACAUUUAUUCAAAGGAUCAUUGUGAUGAAUGAUACCAAUUCUAGGUUGCUGGAACUUGCAUCCAAUGCUUCUAUUCCCAACUGGUGAGUUUAUAGGUUGCAGUGUUUGUGGUGGUCUCCUCCUGAUGGAGCUCAGUAUAUGUCCUUCUUGUUUACCUAAAAAUCUCUUCUCUCCUAAGAUCUUGUAGGAAUCUUUCUUUUUUCCUUAAGAAGCAUGCUACCAAUGGACGCCAGAUGUUCCAGCACCGAAAAGUUGGUGACCAUGCUUGGGUGUUUCAGAAUUCAUAUGAAAAGCAUUUAUUUUUUACUUUCAGGGAUUGCUCCAUCUUGCAGUUUCUAAUAUGGCUGGACAAUUACGAUUUCACAUAUAUCUGAAAAGCCACAGCCCAUAUGUGUUCUAUAAACGUUGGUGUGGUCUUAUGUGCACCAAGAAUUCUGUCAUUAACAUAAGCUAUUUUACACCUGCACUGCAAACUGUUGAUAAAUCUGAUGUGUUGCUUGCUCUGAGAAUUCUUACAUUUGCGUAAGGUAUUUUACACUGGCGUUGUGAACUCAUUGACGAUUAGCAUUCAUCAGCUAAGCACACCUUGAUGUACGCAGCCUAUAUAUUAACAGGUCUUCACAAAGAAGUAUAUUCAGUGUUUCUUCUCCUUACCUGUCACAUGCCAUAGCUGUGCGCAGAUGUCGUCGGCCGUGUAUUGGGUGAUGGUGCGGUUGUUCUGCCGCUGGCUACUCUCCACCGGAGGAAGCACGUACGCAAGCAUGUAAUGGUCAUUUCUUUUUGUAAUUAGCAUGUAAUGGUCAUUGGGUAGCACACGAUGAUCGAUCCAUACAGGAUGCUAUUAAUCUGGAGUUUAACAAUCUUUUAAACAGAACGUGAUACCAUAGUAGAUUUGCUAGUUAAUGAUAAAUAAUUGCUGGACAUACGUUCGUAUAGUGCAACCCAAUAGCACGUCUGCACAGUGCAGUUAAGGCUUACUCUUACGUGGCCACUCUUCGGUUUUCUUACAGUCCGUAGGUGCGCACACGAUGACCACGCCGUAAGUUUACACCGUCAACCUUUUGAUUUUACGGUGGCAGUGGCAGUGGUUGUGGCGCGUGGGUUCCUUUUCAGCCGUAAUCUUACCCCACAUGCUUUCCUUUCUUACGCUCUAGUGCUCUACAA